rnacentral:rRNA from 1 species
CCUGGUAGUCCACGCUGUAAACGAUGUCGAUUUGAAGGUUGUUCCCUAGAGGAGUGGCUUUCGGAGCUAACGCGUUAAAUCGACCGCCUGGGGAGUACGGCCGCAAGGUUAAAACUCAAAUGAAUUGACGGGGGCCCGCACAAGCGGUGGAGCAUGUGGUUUAAUUCGAUGCAACGCGAAGAACCUUACCUACUCUUGACAUCCAGAGAAUCUAGCAGAGAUGCUUUAGUGCCUUCGGGAACUCUGAGACAGGUGCUGCAUGGCUGUCGUCAGCUCGUGUUGUGAAAUGUUGGGUUAAGUCCCGCAACGAGCGCAACCCUUAUCCUUUGUUGCCAGCGAUUCGGUCGGGAACUCAAAGGAGACUGCCGGUGAUAAACCGGAGGAAGGUGGGGAUGACGUCAAGUCAUCAUGGCCCUUACGAGUAGGGCUACACACGUGCUACAAUGGCGUAUACAAAGAGAAGCGACCUCGCGAGAGCAAGCGGAACUCAUAAAGUACGUCGUAGUCCGGAUUGGAGUCUGCAACUCGACUCCAUGAAGUCGGAAUCGCUAGUAAUCGUAGAUCAGAAUGCUACGGUGAAUACGUUCCCGGGCCUUGUACACACCGCCCGUCACACCAUGGGAGUGGGUUGCAAAAGAAGUAGGUAGCUUAACCUUCGGGAGGGCGCUUACCACUUUGUGAUUCAUGACUGGGGUGAAGUCGUAACAAGGUAACCAAGGGCGAAUUCGCGGC